rnacentral:rRNA from 1 species
GUGGGGAAUAUUGGACAAUGGGCGAAAGCCUGAUCCAGCAAUGCCGCGUGAGUGAUGAAGGCCUUAGGGUUGUAAAGCUCUUUUACCCGGGAUGAUAAUGACAGUACCGGGAGAAUAAGCUCCGGCUAACUUCGUGCCAGCAGCCGCGGUAAUACGAAGGGAGCGAGCGUUGUUCGGAAUCACUGGGCGUAAAGAGUGCGUAGGCGGUUAUACAAGUCAGGAGUGAAAUCCCAGGGCUCAACCCUGGAAUUGCUUUUGAAACUGUAUAGCUAGAGUCCCGGAGGGGUUAAUGGAAUUCCGAGUGUAGAGGUGAAAUUCGCAGAUAUUCGGAGGAACACCAGUGGCGAAGGCGAUUAACUGGACGGGCACUGACGCUGAGGCACGAAAGCGUGGGGAUCAAACAGGAUUAGAUACCCGGGUAGUCC